UACUAUGGAACAGGAAAAAAGAACACAAAUAAAAGCACAAUGAAAUCAUUGGUGCUACUGCAUGUAUUUUUUUUCUUCUUUUUUUUCUUAACAAUGCACGUCAAGUUACUACCAUUAUUAUUACAUAAUCAACACAGGUAGCCUACUGCAAUGGAGGGUGAUGUUACUGUUGUUGUUGUUAUUAUAAGCCCAAUUCAGCGAGUGUGAUUAUUCAUAUUUAUGCUGUUUUCAUUUGACGCUAUGUUUUUGGUUCUGGGCACCAUUUUAAUUUUUUUUUUUUUUUUUUAAGACCAGCAACUGCCUCUUACUCAGAGGUAUGGCCGUUACACUGAGAGGACCUUUAACUGACAUUAACUCCUGAGUGUUGGGGCCAGUGAGACAGAUGGUCCAUGGAAAUGAUCCCCUCUAGUCCCCAGCACAUUCAAACGGACAGGCUGCGCUGCCUGCACACACACACCAGAGCAGCCAAUCACUGGACCCCUCCGAUCAGGACCCUCCGGCUUUGGCACCCUGCUCCACCAACGGGAACAGCGCCGGGGCGGGGACGUCUGUGUUUUGGACGGCCCGCCCCCUCCCAUGACUGGAUCCACGGAUCCAGCAGCCCAGAUAAGGUGCUUAGUGCUGCUGGUUCCCCUAUCAGGGAAUGUUAAUGUGUUGAAUUACACUUCAUCCCAACAGUGACACAGAAUGUACUGUUUAUUAAAGAUCUGAGAUGGAGAUAGCCAUCAAAAUAAUAACAGUGGAGAUUAAAUAUUACCCAGUAAUGUGUGA